rnacentral:rRNA from 1 species
CUUGCUCCUGAUGUUACGGCGGACGGGUGAGUACACGUGGGUACCUGCCUGUAAGACUGGGAUAACUCCGGGAAACCGGGGCUAAUACCGGAUGGUUGUUUGAACCGCAUGGUUCAGACAUAAAAGGUGGCUUCGGCUACCACUUACAGAUGGACCCGCGGCGCAUUAGCUAGUUGGUGAGGUAACGGCUCACCAAGGCGACGAUGCGUAGCCGACCUGAGAGGGUGAUCGGCCACACUGGGACUGAGACACGGCCCAGACUCCUACGGGAGGCAGCAGUAGGGAAUCUUCCGCAAUGGACGAAAGUCUGACGGAGCAACGCCGCGUGAGUGAUGAAGGUUUUCGGAUCGUAAAGCUCUGUUGUUAGGGAAGAACAAGUGCCGUUCAAAUAGGGCGGCACCUUGACGGUACCUAACCAGAAAGCCACGGCUAACUACGUGCCAGCAGCCGCGGUAAUACGUAGGUG